rnacentral:misc_RNA from 1 species
AAAAUGAUUUCACCACGUUUGACGUUUCAAACACGACACCAAUUGCUCAAUCAUCAACUAAUGUAGAAUCAACGACCGCAGAAAAGUCUUCCACAACAAAUGGUUGCCCGGGACAUAUACCGGACGAAUUAUGCCAACGUACGUGAAUAAAUGACGUCAGGCCAGACGUCAUAGAAACUUUUGCGUGACCACCAAGGCGAUUCGUGUUUUGUCUGGUCCUUUGUUCUGUCGCAAAAUUGAACAGUGGAAGAUCAUAAUUUUUAAGUUGACUAAAGCUAUGAUCAGAUAUUGACGUUUCAUCUAGACAUUUAGCGAGGUCUAGGUUAUUGGUGUUCACCGUCAAUGGGUGUUGAUUCUUCGAUAAGUCGAAGGUUAAGAAUUCCAAGACAUUACGCCGUACAAUGUUAAAAACCGACAGAACACUAAAUUGCCUUAAAUUUUUAGUUUUGAUUAUUCAGAUAGAAAUUUAACUUGUCUAAAUGCUAAAAACUGUUGAUCUUUUCCAUGUGACAACUUAGUAGAUUUAGACGAAAUAUUCAACUACAAAAAUAUAGAGCAAAUUGUUUAUAAAUUGUAUUUGUGAUUAUUCUUGUUCUUGCCUCUCAAAGUACAGAACUGUAAAGACAUCUUAUGAAACUGUGAUACAUAGAGAAUACUUUGUUGUAGAUAGAGUUGUUUUAAUAAAGAGUAUUAUAUUU